rnacentral:rRNA from 1 species
GUGGGGAAUAUUGGACAAUGGGCGCAAGCCUGAUCCAGCCAUGCCGCGUGAGUGAUGAAGGCCUUAGGGUUGUAAAGCUCUUUCGUCAGGGAAGAUAAUGACUGUACCUGAAGAAGAAGCCCCGGCUAACUUCGUGCCAGCAGCCGCGGUAAUACGAAGGGGGCUAGCGUUGCUCGGAAUCACUGGGCGUAAAGCGCGCGUAGGCGGCUUUCUAAGUCAGGGGUGAAAUCCUGGAGCUCAACUCCAGAACUGCCUUUGAUACUGGAGAGCUUGAGUUCGGGAGAGGUGAGUGGAACUGCGAGUGUAGAGGUGAAAUUCGUAGAUAUUCGCAAGAACACCAGUGGCGAAGGCGGCUCACUGGCCCGAUACUGACGCUGAGGUGCGAAAGCGUGGGGAGCAAACAGGAUUAGAAACCCGAGUAGUCC